UACGUAGGCAGCAAGCGUUGUUCGGAGUUACUGGGCGUAAAGGGUGCGUAGGCGGCUUUUUAAGUUUGGUGUGAAAUCUCCCGGCUCAACUGGGAGGGUGCGCCGAAUACUGAGAGGCUAGAGUACGGGAGAGGAAAGUGGAAUUCCUGGUGUAGCGGUGAAAUGCGUAGAUAUCAGGAGGAACACCGGUGGUGUAAACGGCUUUCUGGACCGUAACUGACGCUGAUGCACGAAAGCGUGGGUAGCAAACAGG
rnacentral:rRNA from 1 species